rnacentral:rRNA from 1 species
GAUGGACGCUAGCGGCAGGCUUAAUACAUGCAAGUCGUGGGGCAGCAUGAAUGUAGCAAUACAUUUGAUGGCGACCGGCAAACGGGUGCGGAACACGUACACAACCUUCCUAUAAGUGGGGAAUAGCCCAGAGAAAUUUGGAUUAAUACCCCGUAACAUAAUGAUGUGGCAUCACAUUAUUAUUAUAGCUACGGCGCUUAUUGAUGGGUGUGCGGCUGAUUAGAUAGUUGGCGGGGUAACGGCCCACCAAGUCUACGAUCAGUAGCUGAUGUGAGAGCAUGAUCAGCACACGGGCACUGAGACACGGGCCCGACUCCUACGGGAGGCAGCAGUAAGGAAUAUUGGUCAAUGGACGCAAGUCUGAACCAGCCAUGCCGCGUGAAGGAUUAAGGUCCUCUGGAUUGUAAACUUCUUUUAUCUGGGACGAAAAAAGGCGAUUCUUCGUCACUUGACGGUACCAGAUGAAUAAGCACCGGCUAACUCCGUGCCAGCCGCCGCGGUAAUAC